GCAAUGGACGAAAGUCUGACCGAGCAACGCCGCGUGAGUGAAGAAGGUUUUCGGAUCGUAAAGCUCUGUUGUAAGUCAAGAACGUGUGUGAGAGUGGAAAGUUCACACAGUGACGGUAGCUUACCAGAAAGGGACGGCUAACUACGUGCCAGCAGCCGCGGUAAUACGUAGGUCCCGAGCGUUGUCCGGAUUUAUUGGGCGUAAAGGGAGCGCAGGCGGUCAGGAAAGUCUGGAGUAAAAGGCUAUGGCUCAACCAUAGUGUGCUCUGGAAACUGUCUGACUUGAGUGCAGAAGGGGAGAGUGGAAUUCCAUGUGUAGCGGUGAAAUGCGUAGAUAUAUGGAGGAACACCAGUGGCGAAAGCGGCUCUCUGGUCUGUCACUGACGCUGAGGCUCGAAAGCGUGGGUAGCGAACAGGAUUAGAUACCCUGGUAGUCCACGCCGUAAACGAUGAGUGCUAGGUGUUAGGCCCUUUCCGGGGCUUAGUGCCGGAGCUAACGCAAUAAGCACUCCGCCUGGGGAGUACGAACGCAAGGUUGAAACUCAAAGGAAUUGACGGGGGCCCGCACAAGCGGUGGAGCAUGUGGUUUAAUUCGAAGCAACGCGAAGAGCCUUACCAGGUCUGACAUCCGAUGC
rnacentral:rRNA from 1 species